rnacentral:rRNA from 1 species
GGUAUUUUGACUAUACAAAGGUAUUGUAAUAAGACUUUAAUUGAGUGCUAAAAGAAUGGACUUUCAAAAAAAUACUUUCUUGAAUUUAAUAAUUGAAUUUAUUUUUAUUUGUGAAGAAACAAUAAUUAACAUUAAGGACAAGAAGACCCUAAGAAUUUUUGAGUUUAACUAAAAAAGUUUUUUUAUUUAAAUUCUUAAUUGGGGCGAUUAAAAAAUAUUUUUAACUUUUUUUAAAAAAAAAAUGACCCAUUAAUAAUGAUUAAUUGUAUUAAAUACUCUAGGGAUAACAGCGUAAUAAUUUUAGAUAGAUCGUAUAGAAAAAAUAGUUUGCGACCUCGAUGUUGGAUUAGGAUUUCUAUUUAAUGCAGAAGUUAAAAAUAGAAAGUUUGUUCAACUUUUAAAAUCCU